rnacentral:rRNA from 1 species
CCCUUAGAUGUUCUGGGCCGCACGCGCGCUACACUGAUUCAUGCACUAAGUAUAUAACCUUGGUAGAAAUGCUUGGGUAAUCUUUGAAACUGAAUCGUGCUGGGGAUUGGAGCUUGUAAUUAUUCUCCAUGAACGAGGAAUUCCUAGUAAACGCGAGUCAUCAGCUCGCAUUGAUUACGUCCCUGCCCUUUGUACACACCGCCCGUCGCUCCUACCGAUUGAGUGAUUCGGUGAAUAAUUCGGACUGCAGCAUUGCUUGGAUUCCGAGCUUUGCAGCGGAAAGUUUAGUGAACCUCAUCACUUAGAGGAAGGAGAAGUCGUAACA